AUUGAACGCUGGCGGAAUGCUUUACACAUGCAAGUCGAACGGCAGCACGGACUUCGGUCUGGUGGCGAGUGGCGAACGGGUGAGUAAUGUAUCGGAACGUGCCCAGUCGUGGGGGAUAACGUAGUGAAAAUUACGCUAAUACCGCAUACGAUCUAUGGAUGAAAGCGGGGGAUCGCAAGACCUCGCGCGAUUGGAGCGGCCGAUAUCAGAUUAGGUAGUUGGUGGGGUAAAGGCCCACCAAGCCAACGAUCUGUAGCUGGUCUGAAAGGACGACCAGCAACACUGGAACUGAGACACGUUCACGACUCCUACGGGAGGCAGCAGUGGGUAAUUUUGGACAAUGGGCGAAAGCCUGAUCCAGCCAUUCCGCGUGCAGGAUGAAGGCCCUCGGGUUGUAAACUGCUUUUGUACAGAACGAAAAGGUUUCUACUAAUACUAGGAGCUCAUGACGGUACUGUAAGAAUAAGCACCGGCUAACUACGUGCCAGCCGCCGCCGUAA
rnacentral:rRNA from 1 species